CACUAAUUUGAGCGCUUGUAAAUAAUGUUAUGUUUACAGUCAUAGAAUUAUUUAUAAAAAAUGCAUAGGCAAUGAGGGCAAAAUACAAAGUCCGCAAGGAAACAUUUGCAAAAUUUAAAUUAUAUUUUAAAAACUCAUUAAUAAUUCACGAGGAAAAUACAAAAGAAAUGAACGUUUAAUCAAUGCUUGUAAAUUGGAUAAAGAUAUGUCCAAAUCUACAUCUUAACUAGUACAUACAAAUUUGUCUCAUACCAGUAUUCAUAUUUUCUGACCAUAAAUGUGUGGCUGCUCUAAUUGCAUUUUUGUCUCAGAUGAUGUUCAAAUUUCUCCAAGUCAUCUGCAAAUACAUUUACAGCUCUUCGCAUGUUCAAACCACAUAAUAUUCUUGUCGACUGCUUUAAUAGUAAACUGUUGUAAACAUAUUUUAUUGAACGACAUCCUUGUAAAUGUUUUUUAGUUGAUUAGCUACCGU